rnacentral:lncRNA from 1 species
AGCGUUACCGAUGUUAUACCAACACCGUCCACGUAAACAUCACCUUCCUCAUCAUCAUCAACAGCAUUGUUGUCAUCAUCAUCAUAAUAAUAAUCACCAUUAGCACCACCACCACCACCACCACCACCAUAAUUACCAUCAUCAUCGUCAUCAUCAUCAACAACAACAACAACAACAACAACAGGAACAGAGGCUUUGCCAUUACUAAUAUUAAUGCUAAUGACCCCCCUCCCCUAUCAUACCACAACAUUAGCAGCACCACCACCACCAUCACCACCAGUACAAUCAUCAUCAUCAUCAUCACCAUCAUCAUCAUCAUCAUCAUCAUCAUCACCAUCAUCAUCAUCAACAACAACAUCGCUUUUGUCAUCAUCACCCACACCACCACCACCACCACCACCACCACCACCAGCAUCAUAAGCAUCACCCUUCUCCUUCGUUCUUAAUUGUAAUCAUACACAACAUUAAUAUUAUCGCAAUCAACGUCGCUUUAAUUAUCAUCGUCGCUAACAUAAUCAUCAUCAUCAUCAUCAUCAUCAUCAUCAUCAUCAUCAUCAUCAUCAUCAUCAUCAUCAUCAUCAUCAUCAUCAUCAUCAUUAUAAUCACUAUCAUCAUCAUCGCUGUCAACACAAAUAUCAUCAUCAGAUCAACAUCCUCAUCAUCAUCAUCAUCAUCAUCAUCAUCAUCAUCAUCAUCAUCAUCAUAAUCACUCAUCAUCAUCAUCAUCAUCAUCAUCAUCAUCAUCACUAUCAUCAUCACUGUUAUAAUUACCAUCAUCGCUGUCAACACAAAUAUCAUCAUCAGUAGAAGCAUCAGCAGUAGCAUCAUCAUCAUCAUCAUCAUCAUCAUCAUCAUCAUCAUCAUCCUCACCGCCUUCAUCAUCAUCACCACCACCACUGUCGUCGUCUUCUUCUCCAGCAUCGCCAACAUAAUUAUUGUCUGCGCUAUUAUCAUCAGCAUCAUCAUCAGCAGCAGCGUCACCAUCAUCAUUAUAGUCACCGUCAAAAACAUCACCUACCAUCAUCAUCAUCGUCAUCAUCAUCAUCAUCGUCGUCGUCAUCAUCAUCACUGACAUCAUCAUCUACAUCCUCCUCCUCCUCAAGCUCAUCCUCAUCCUCAUCUUCACCAUCAUCAUUAUCAUCGUCGUCAUCAUCAUCAUCAUUAUCGUCGUCAUCAUCAUCAUCGUCAUCAUCAUCAUCGUCGUCGUCAUCAUCAUCACUGACAUCAUAAUCUACAUCCCCCUCCUCCUCAACCUCAUCCUCAUCUUCACCAUCAUCAUCAGUAUCGUCGUCAUCAUCAUCAUCAUCGUCAUCAUCAUCGUCAUCCUCGUCGCCGUCGUCACAAACUUCAUUUCACCCCCACCAUCCUCACCAGCGCCACCAACACUCAUUCUCAUCAUCGUCGUGGUCGAUCGAUGUGGCGGUCGUUAUCAGAGUGUCGCGCGCAUCGUCGUCUUUCGGCUUCGUUGUCGUUGUUGGCCAGAUAAAAACAUGCACACAAAGGCAGCAACAACAACAACAACAACAACAACAACAACAACAACAACAGCAGUAAGGACCUCGGAUAUCAGGCUGUAACAAACUCCACCAGCUAAACACACCAUCACCACCACCACCGCCACCACUGCAACCUCCACCACCACUACAACCCCUACUUCUAUCCUAUUAUCAUAGACCCAUUUAUCCAGUGAAGUGAGAGGGUCGGCAUCUGUUGUGGCUAACGUAGUGAGGCGUGGUGGAAGUCAGGUUUGGGAUUGGAAAUGGAAAUGGGAUGGGAUGGGCUUGUGAUGUGGAUAAUAGCAUAGCAGUUGCCUUGGUGAUGAUGCAGCAGAACUAGAUGGAGUAACGGAGUAACGAUACAACCAACAGAUAGCUGGUCAGUACCAUGAUGGCUUCAUUUUUUGUUUUUUUCUAUGUGCGUUUUUUUUCUUCUUUUAUAUUGCAUUUAUUUUAUUUAUUACUGUUGUUUGUUUGUUUGUUUUUUUACUUUAUACAUGCAUUUAUCCAGUUUAAGCGUAUAUGUAUGAGUGUAGGGGAUUGCGUGCUUGCGUGUGUGUGUGUGUGUGUGUAUGUGUGUGUGAGAGAUAUUGUGUGUGUGUGUAGAUAUAUGUAGCUGCUUAGAAGUAAGCCUUGGCGUGCGUGCAGGCAUAUUAAUUUGGCCGUUUAAAAAUAUAUGUAUGUAUGUAUGUAUGAAUGCAUGAAUAUAUAUAUAUAUAUACAUAAACUUGUGUGUGUAUAUAUAUAUAUAUAUAUAUAUAUAUAUAUAUAUAUAUAUAUAUUCAUAUAUAUAUAUAUGCAUAUAUAGGCAUAGGACACCAUCAACAGUAAACAUGAAAUACGAAAACAGAUGAGUUCAAUACGCAGCCGUGGUGUCCUGUACGCAUAUAUGCAUAUAUAUAUAUAUAUAUAUAUAUAUAUAUAUAUAUAUAUAUAUAUAUAUAUAUAUAUAUGUAUAUAUAUAUGUAUGUAUAUAUAUAUAUGUAUGUGUGUGUGUAUAUAUAUAUAUAUAUAUAUAUAUAUAUAUAUAUGUAUAUAUGUGUGUGUCUGUAUAUGUAUAUAUAUACAUACACAGUUAUACGUCACUUUACGAGGAUCCACUUUACGAGACACCGAGUAUGCGAGGUUUUGCGAGUCUUGUUUUCUGUUUACGAAUUUUCGCUUUACGAACGUUCUCCAGAAAAGAAUUAACGCGGAAAUCAAGGCAUUAGUCUCUCUUUCUCUCUCUCUCUCUCUCUCUCUCUCUCUCUCUCUCUGUACAUAUGUAUGUAUGUAUGCAUGCAAGUAGGUAUGUAUAUAUAAAGAUUUACACAUACACAUUUAUAUAUAGACACAUAUAUACAUAUAGGUGUAUAUAUGCAUGGGUGUGUAUGUAUAUAUAUAUAUAUAUAGGUGUGUAUUGUGUAUAUGUAUAUAUGUGCAUGUGUGUGUUUAUGGACAUCUUUGUGUGUGUGUGAGUAAUUGAAAGUUGAAAUCUUUAAUUUCUGUCGUUAAAUCUACGUCCUGUAUGCUUAUAUAUGCUUAUAUAUGCUUAUAUAUGUAUCUAUGUGUAUAUGCUUAUAUAUGUAUCUAUGUAUAUAUGCUUAUAUAUGUAUCUAUGUGUGCUUAUUUGUGUAUGUAUAAACGUCUGCGUAUAUAUAUGUGGGUGUGUGGUAAGUAGCUUGCUUACCAAUUACAUAGCUACAGGUUCAGUCCCACUGUGUAGUACCUUGGGCAAGUGUCUUCUACUAUAGUAUCGAGCUACCUGAAACCUUCUGAGUGGAUUUGGUAGACGGAAACUGAAAGAAGCCCGUCGUAUAUGUGUGUGGGGGGUUGUAUGUAUGUGAGUGUGUGUGUUUGUCCCUUCUACAUCGCCUGACAGCCGAUGCUGGUGCGUUUACCUCCCCGUAACUUAGCGGCAAAAGAGUCCGAUAGAAUAAGUACUAGGCCUACAAAGAAUAAGUCCUGGGGUCGAUUUGCUCGACUGAAGGCGGUGCUACAGCAUGGCCGCAGUCGAAUGAGUGAAACAAAUAAAAGAAUAUAUAAAUAUAUAUAUAUAUAUAUAUAUAUAUAUAUAUAUAUAUAUAUAUAUAUAUGUAAGUAUGUAUGUAUGUAUAUUUCGGAUUAUCUGUAAGAAACAUAAAUUCGAAAGAAGCACACUCUAAUAUGUUAGUUAGUUAGUUAGUUAAUUAUUUGGCUCAAAAAGCAAAAAGCAAGGCCAUGUAGGGGGACAUGGAGUUAUGUACAGGGUGGUGUUCAUGUAAAGAGUUCAGGCCACUUGUGGUCAAGGGAAACUUUGAACCGAGCGGUCGUCGGCAUCUUCACCAUCUCGUCCAACAGUUUAUUCCACGGAUCCGCAAUGUAUAUUUUAAAAAUGGUGCAGGCUGGUUUAUGAAAUCACCUCAGGUUUUCUGUCCAUAAAGGGUUUCGAUUUUUCCGUCCAUAAAGGCAGAUCCCAAAAACCUGUUGGCCCAAGACCUCUCCUCAUUUUUAAGAGGUGUUGCACCAACAGGUAUUGCGAUCGGACGAUACGCUAUAAAGCUAGACCUUUUAUAGACAGGAAGCCUAAGAUAAUUCCACAAACCGGACUUCCCCAUUUUUGAUAUACAUAUAUAUAUGUAUAUAUAGAUAGAUAGAUAGAUAGAUAGAUAGAUAGAUAGAUAGAUAGAUAGAUAGAUAGAUAGAUAGAUAGAUAGAUAGAUAGAUAGAUAGAUAGAUAGAUAGAUAGAUAGAUAGAUAGAUAGAUAGAUAGAUAGAUAGAUAGAUAGAUAGAUAGAUAAAGUAGUAUUAUUACCGUUAUUUACAGUAAUAAGGUGGCUAGCAAGUUCACACUUUUGCAGUUACAACAUAAAGUAAUUUAAGAUUAGGUAAGGUAUAUUUAUCGUGGUCUUUGGAGCAAUGACUCUGAUUUUAGCAAGUGGUAUUACAUACCUUACCUAAUCCUAUAUAAAUAUAUAUAUAUAUAUAUAUAGUUAUACAUGUAUGUGUGAAUGCAAGUAUGCAUGUAUGACACAAGGACAGAAAUUUGUGGGGCGGCGUAAAGCGAUUGCAUCGACUUCAGUGCGCAACUGGUACUUAUUUUAUUAACCUCGGAAAAGGUGAAAGGUAAAGUCGACCUCGACGGAAUUUGAACUCAGAACGUAAAGAUAGACGAAAUACAUAUUUCUUUAUUACCCACAAGGGGCUAAACACAGAGAGGACAAACAAGGACAGACAAACGGAUUAAGUCGAUUAUAUCGACCCCAGUGCGUAACUGGUACUUAUUUAAUCGACCCAGAAAGGAUGAAAGACGACCUCGGCGGAAUUUGAACUCGGAACGUAACGGCAGACGAAAUACUACUAAGCAUUUCGCCCAGCGUACUAACGUGUGUGUGUGUGUGUGUGUGUGUGUGUGUGUGUGUGUGUGUGUGUGUGUGUGUGUGUGUGUGUGUGUGUGUGUGUGUGUGUGUGUGUGUGUGUGUGUGAAUGUGUGUGUGUGUCAUAUUGAUUUCAAAUUUUGGCAUAGUUUCACUAAUUCCCGAGGUGGGAGUAAGUCGGUUACAUCGACCCUAGUAAUCGACUGGAACUUAUUUAUCGACCCCGAAGGAAUAAAAGACAAAAUCGUCGACCUCGGCGGAAUUCAUGGUAAUAUCAUGGAACUGAAUGAUUACCAUUCCAUACCGGGAUCUAUGUAUCAAUAUAGGAACAAUUGUAUUGAUCAGUUAUUGAUUUCAUAGGAUUAUUGCGCUGCAACAUCCAAGGAUUUCCCAAUAAAUUUAGUAGCGUCAAAUGAAGGGGGCUCGAAGGCGUCUCUUUUUUUGCUUUGUGGCAGGUUGCCCCCAGGCCAAAUUUACGGUAUAUUGUUGUUAUUUUUUAUGUUGUGUGCCCCAGAUAAGCCUUCGUCACCCGUCAUUAUCUGGUAUGGCUGUUUUUAUAUAUAUCCAAGUACAACAUAUCCGUUGCUUUGCCAAUUGAAUAUGAUAUAUAUAUCCAAGAAUAUACAUCUAUUAUAUAAAAUCCGUUCGGUGUGUGGGUUUGUGUGUGGGUGGGUGGGUGUGUGGGUGGGUGUGAGUGUGUGUGUGUGUGUGUGUGUGAGUGUGUGUGUGUGUCUUCUAGGAUCUCGGGCAUCCUCCAUCCGAUUGCACCCAAAUUUUAUAUGUAGAUACCGACGGUAUCAGGGCGUGUAUAAGUCUUGAAAAAAUUACAAAAAUCGAUUCCAGGUGAGAAUGCGAUUGAUAAAGCCGUGGGAACGUGCAUUUGUAAAAUCGUUUUUCUUGGAAUAGAAAAAGAGUGUAUUUCUUCUUUUGCUGGUGUCUCAAAUUUAGGUUAAAUCAGUGUUUCUCAAAGGGGAGGCCAAUGGGACGGUCGGACAAGUUGUUUUGAGAACAUUUGUUUUAAAUGUUUGACAACUCAGUACUGUCCAUUGGACGGGGAGCGUUUUGUUCGUAAUAUAUUAUCCAUAAUAAAUUAUCCAUUUAUAUUUGCCACUUGAAUAUAACUUUGAGAAAUGUUCGCUGUUGUUUCUAGCAUGUGGUACGACCUGUAAGACGCUCAACACAUUGGCUCCGCAUCGCAAUUUAUUGUGAGUCUCUAUGUGUGUGUGUGUGUGCGCGCGCGCGUGUGUGUGUGAGAGAGAGUAUGUGUGUGUGAAUGUGUGUAUGUUUGUGUGUAUUUGUGUGGGUGCGUGUAGGUGUGUGUGUGUGUUAUUGACGUCACAGGCAUAAAGUUUCUCAAAUGGAUGCAGAAAUUCGAAGCAUUCCUUUGUGCCCAGUGGUAGAACCCUUGUCACAGGCGAUAAAGGUUCGAGCUGCAAACCCGGCCUUCGACCCUUUUUCUGUUACUAAGUAUUCUUAACUCAAUAUUUUACAUACAAUUUUUUUAGCUUCAGGAACCACUAUUUCAAAACUGAAUAAUUGAUAGAUGGAUGGAUUGGCUUAUACAGAACUAUAUUAGACAAUUUAUUCGACAUGUUUGAUAGAGCAUAUUACGGUGUUGGGGGAGAUUGGGUGCCAACUCAAGUACGUCAACCAAACGAAUAUAAACUCCUGUGAUUAAUUUUCACACAAUGAUUGUUUCACUUCCCAUUUUCUCCAAAUGUGUUGUCUGACAAUGCCAGCUCUAUGUCUUCAGCAAAACAGUGCAUGUGUGUGUGUGUGUGUGUGUGUGUGUGUGUGUGUGUGUGGUCAGAACACAAUACAGAAAGAACAAAUUACGGUAAUAAGGAACUAGUCUAACUUUUGAAAGGGAAAUGGUGCAACACUAACGCUUCGGACGUUAGUUCUUCUUCGGAAAUUAAUGAGGUAAAGGAGAAACGUAAAGACAAGGGGAUUGUUUGCGUGUAAAAAAUACAAUUCCAAUGAAAAGAGUGAGAAAGAAAGUGGAUAGCUAAUAUCUAGAGCGAAUAUCGAUUUAUAGGACGAAAUCCAGAAGGAAGAUCAAGAAGGAGGUCAGGUAGUUGUGUAAAUACAUGUGUCAGGGAGUGUGUACGCUUAGUAGCAAGGAUAAGGCUGAAUUAUGUUUGUGUGUAUGUAUAUAUUUCUGGUUGUAUGUAUACAGUAAUCCCUCGCCAUAUCGCAGUUCACCUAUCGCGGUUUAUAAUUUGAGCUUAAGUCGAUUCCUUUGUGUUGUUCUUUUGCAUUUAUAAUAAAAUAAAAAUAUAUAAAUUAUAAAAAUAAUAAUAAUAAUAAAAAUAUACAGUACUGUUUCUACUUCGCGGAUUUUUACUUAUCGCGGCGGGUUUUGCAACGUAGCACCCGCAACCGUUGAAAGAUUACUUUAUAUUUUUGUGUAAGGUAUUUGAAUAGAAUAAUAUUAGAUUAUGUGAGUGAAAGCAACGUGCGCAUGGGUACCAGGAGAUAACUGUGAAAUAAUAUACACGAGUGUGAGGGGUGGGGGAUAAGAUUAUUGGGAAUAUGGUGCAGGAUCACACUGAGAUGUCGAAAGUUCUACAAUAUGAACAGUGCUCUGUGAGUGGAAGGGAAUCUUCAUCUCGGUCUCUCUCUCUCUCUCUCUCUAUAUAUAUAUAUAUAUAUAUAUAUAUAUAUAUAUAUAUAUCCGACGAUGCCUUAGCUAGCUAAGACUGUGGAUUCACUGACAGUGAUUGCAAAUAUAUAUAUAUAUAUAUAUAUAUAUAUAUAUAUAUAUAUAUAUAUAUACAUAUAUAUACAUACAUACAUAUGUAUGUGUCUGCGAUGUAUCCAUGUAUGUGGAUAUAUGUAUGAAUGUGGAUAUAUAUAUAUAUGUAUAUAUAUAUAUAUAUAUAGAGAGAGAGAGAGAGAGAGAUGUAUAUAUGUAUGUUUAUGCAUAUAUAUAUAUUUAUACAUACAUACAUACAUAUAAUGGACAAUCACAGAUGUACACUGACAAACUCAUGCACAUACAUAUAUAUAUAUAUAUAUAUAUAUAUAUAUAUAUAUGUAUACGUACAUAUACAUAUAGAUAUAUGCAUAUAUAUAUAUAUAUAUAUAUAUAUAUAUAUAUAUAUAUAUAUAUAUAUAUAUAUAUAUAUAUAUAUAUAUAUAUAUGUAUAGGCGCAGGCGUAGCAGUGUGGUAAGAAGCUUACUUCCCAGCCACAAAGUACCGGGAAGCCCGUCGUAUAUGUGUAUUACUCUUUUACUUGUUUCAGUCAUUUGACUGUGGCCAUGCUGGAUCACCGCCUUUAAUCGACAAAUCGACCCCAGGACUUAUUCUUUGUGAGCCUAGUACUUAUUCUAUCGGUACAUAUAUAUAUAUAUAUGUACCGAUAGAAUAAGUAUAUAUAUAUAUAUAUAUAUUGUUAUAUUUCGGAAUGGUCAUAUUGCCAGUUUAGCCAAUAAAAACACACGCACUAUAUAUUUGGUGUUAUUUUGCUUCAGUGAUAUUUAUUUUUUACAUUAAUCUUAAUCUUAUUUCGGCCAAAGUUCUUUCGUCACACUCCUGUGACCGCAUCAGUGGUCCUUUGUUUUCUUCUCACUUACUUGUGUCUCUCCUUACUAACCGUCAGCCAUUUUGUAUUUCUAUUGUAUGUCUUCAUUUGCGCAUGCUUAUAUCUCUAUGUGCGUCUAUGUUUAUUUAGUGUGUGUGUGGGGGGGAUGCCUGUAAUAUUUGUAUCUUCUGGUUAUAUACAUUCUUGUAAUUUGUAAGCAGCGUUUCAAUUUAAAUUUAUUAAGAAAAGGGUUAAAGAAGUGACACCUUAGUUAAUGAAAAUUACGUUAUAUAAAACAGGUGAGCAAUCAGAAAUCGAAUAAAGUGAGUGGGACCUUCGCUGAAAAUGGCCAUUUAUACACGAAAACGGGUGUGUAAAUAACAAACAGAUGUAUUAGUUUAACGCUCGGGAAGUGAGAAAGUCUUUUACGUUUCAAGCCUACGCUCUUCAACAUAUAUAUAUAUAAUUAUGGGGUACCAGAAGCUCAAGUGCUAAGGGCCUUUGUGGGUCUUAACCCGCCCCGGUGUGUAUGCGCGUGUGUAUGUGUGAGUGCGUGUAUAUAUAUAUAUAUAUAUAUGUGUGUGUGUGUGUCUGUGUGUGUGUCUGUGUAUUAUAUAUAACGGAAUAUGCGCAUGACAUUGUACCCGUAUGUCCUUUAAUACUCAAAGGACUUCGUAAGUAUGCUCGUAUAUGUAUAUGUGUGUGUGUAUGUAUGCGUGUGUAUGUAUGUGUGUGUGUAUGUAUGUGUAAUGAAAUGUGUGCAUAGCAUUGUACCCGUAUGUCCUUUAAUACUCAAAGGAUUUCGGAUUGGCAGUGGAGUAACAUCGACCAGAGACCAUUAAGUAACUGCAAGUAAUUACGUGCGAAAGGGGAACGGCUGGGAGCGGAAGCUAAGCUUGUCUCGCCUGGGGCAGCCCUUGACAUUUCUGCCCCUUCCGCCGAGUCGAAACCCAAACAGGCUCCUAGAGCAGACCCAAAAGUGUCACCACUAUAGAAGCAUCACUUGAAGCAGAUCUCCCCGCUUCCACCACCGCCACCACCACCCGUGUCUCGACCUCGCCCACAACUACGCCUCUGGGAAAACGGCGGGACAGUGGUACAACCUGGAUAUUGAACCAAUGUCACACUCGUCGUCGAGAAAAGAGCAACAUCCGGCAACACGUCCACACGCAAACAGACCCGUGCGCGCUUAGAAACCCCCCCCCCCCGACACACACACACUCGCUCUCUGAUGCGCAGUUAUAUGCACAAACAGAUGCAUAAUGCGUGUAUGUAUAUACUUCUAUUUAUAAUACGCACAUCUAAAUGCGUAUCAUCUUUUAUGACUAAUACACCCACUCAACCAGUCACACACGUACACACACACUCAUAGAACGAAACCUAUUUAACUAUCAUGUACUAAUGUCCCAUACUCCUAUCUAUGUAUCUAUCGAUUUAUAUAUAUAUAUAUAUAUAUAUAUAUAUAUAUAUAUAUAUUCUUUAUUGCCCACAAGGGGCUACACACAGAGAGGAAAAACAAGGACAGACAAACGGAUUAAGUCGAUUAUAUCGACCCCAGUGCUUAACUGGUACUUAUUUAAUCGACCUCGAAAGGAUUAAAGGCAAAGUCGACCACGGCGGAAUUUGAACUCAGAUCGUAGCA